AGUCGAGUGCGCGUCUGUAGCAAUACAGAUGGCGCACGGCGCACGGGUGCGUAACACGUGGGUAAUCUGCCCUUCGAUGGGGAAUAUCUUCGGGAAACCGAAGCGAAUUCCGCAUAACAUUCCUUGAACUUCGGUUUGGGGACUCAAAGCCGUAAGGCGUCGGAGGAGGAACCCGCGCACGAUUAGCUAGUUGGUAGGGUAACGGCCUACCAAGGCUUUGAUCGUUAGCUGGUCUGAGAGGAUGGCCAGCCACACUGGAACUGAGACACGGUCCAGACUCCUACGGGAGGCAGCAGUGGGGAAUCUUGCACAAUGGGCGAAAGCCUGAUGCAGCGACGCCGCGUGGGGGAUGAAGCUUUUCGGAGUGUAAACCCCUUUCGACCCGGACGAAUGCCCCGCAAGGGGACUGACGGUACGGGUAUAAGAAGCCCCGGCUAACUACGUGCCAGCAGCCGCGGUAAGACGUGGGGGGCCAGCGUUGCUCGGAAUUACUGGGUGUAAAGGGUUCGUAGGCGGUGUGGCAAGUCGGGAGUGAAAUCUCUGGGCUUAACUCAGAGUCUGCUUCCGAAACUGCUGUGCUUGAGUGUGGGAGAGGCGCGUGGAAUUGCAGGUGUAGCGGUGAAAUGCGUAGAUAUCUGCAGGAACACCCGUGGCGAAAGCGGCGCGCUGGACCACUACUGACGCUGAGGAACGAA
rnacentral:rRNA from 1 species